GAUGAACGCUGGCGGCGUGCCUAAUACAUGCAAGUCGAGCGAACGGACGAGAAGCUUGCUUCUCUGAUGUUAGCGGCGGACGGGUGAGUAACACGUGGAUAACCUACCUAUAAGACUGGGCUAACUUCGGGAAACCGGAGCUAAUACCGGAUAAUAUUUUGAACCGCAUGGUUCAAAAGUGAAAGACGGUCUUGCUGUCACUUAUAGAUGGAUCCGCGCUGCAUUAGCUAGUUGGUAAGGUAACGGCUUACCAAGGCAACGAUGCAUAGCCGACCUGAGAGGGUGAUCGGCCACACUGGAACUGAGACACGGUCCAGACUCCUACGGGAGGCAGCAGUAGGGAAUCUUCCGCAAAGGGCGAAAGCCUGACGGAGCAACGCCGCGUGAGUGAUGAAGGUCUUCGGAUCGUAAAACUCUGUUAUUAGGGAAGAACAUAUGUGUAAGUAACUGUGCACAUCUUGACGGUACCUAAUCAGAAAGCCACGGCUAACUACGUG
rnacentral:rRNA from 1 species